UACGAAGGGGCUAGCGUUGCUCGGAAUCACUGGGCGUAAAGGGUGCGUAGGCGGGUCUUAAGUCAGGGGUGAAAUCCUGGAGCUCAACUCCAGAACUGCCUUUGAUACUGAAGAUCUUGAGUUCGGGAGAGGUGAGUGGAACUGCGAGUGUAGAGGUGAAAUUCGUAGAUAUUCGCAAGAACACCAGUGGCGAAGGCGGCUCACUGGCCCGAUACUGACGCUGAGGCACGAAAGCGUGGGGAGCAAACAGGG
rnacentral:rRNA from 1 species